UAGGGAAUCUUCCGCAAUGGGCGAAAGCCUUACGGAGCAACGCCGCGUGAGUGAUGAAGGUCUUCGGAUCGUAAAACUCUGCUAUUAGGGAAGAACAAAUGUGUAAGUAACUAUGCACGUCUUGACGGUACCUAAUCAGAAAGCCACGGCUAACUACGUGCCAGCAGCCGCGGUAAUACGUAGGUGGCAAGCGUUGUCCGGAUUUAUUGGGCGUAAAGCGAGCGCAGGCGGUCGAUUAAGUCUGAUGUGGAAGCCCCCGGCUCAACCGGGGAGGGUGAUAGGAAAAUGGUAGAGUUGGGUGCAGAAGAGAAGAGUGGAAUUCCAUGUGGAGAGGUGAAAUGCGGAGAUAUAUGGAGGAACAACAGUGGCGAAAGCGACUCUCUGGUCUGUAACUAACGCUGAGGUUCGAAAGCGUGGGUAGCAAACAGG
rnacentral:rRNA from 1 species